rnacentral:rRNA from 1 species
UAAAAGUUAAUGAAAUAUAAGUUCCCGAAAUAAGUAGAUCUAUAAUAUUUUAUCUUUAUUGUGACGUGUUAUACUUAUGUAGCAUAAUAAGUUGAAAAAUAUAUUAUAGGGAUGAAAAGUCUACAUUACUUAGGAUAGCUGGAUGUAUUAUAAAGACAUUAAGUGUUUAAGCCAGCUAGUAAGUGAUAAGAUUUGCUAGCUCAUUAAAGAAAUCAAUUUUCAUAACAAAUUAUAUUAAUUAUUAAUAUAAACCUUAUAUUACGAUUUAAUCUUAAUUACUCUUAAGUUAUAUAAUAUAAUACUAUUAUGCUUAAUAACUAACAUAUUAAAUUCUGUUUAAAUUAGUAUAAUUAAAUAUAUCUGUUAAAAGAACUCGGCAAAAGUUUACUCAACUGUUUAUCAAAAACAUAGCGUAUAGUAUAUUUAAUAUAUUCAUUAUAGGUUAUACCUGCCCGGUGAAUAUAUUUUAACGGCCGCAGUACUUUGACUGUGCUAAGGUAGCAUAAUAAAUUGGCUUUUAAUUGAAGUCGGGAAUGAAAGGUUAAAUGGGUAGACACUGUUUCUAACAGAUUUAAUAAAACUUAUUAAAUUAGUGAAAAUACUAAUAACUUACUAUAUUAGACGAGAAGACCCUUAGAAUUAUGGUUACUAUUAUAUAAUAUAUUUAAUGAUACUUUUGUUGGGGCAACAAUAUUGGAAUGAAUAACCUAUAUAUAAUAAUUGUAUAAGUCUCCUUUUAGGUGGAAAAGAUUAAAUUACCUAAGGGAUAACAGCAUAAUAAAUAUUUUUGAUUGUGACCUCGAUGUUGGAUUAGGGAUUCUUAUGACUAGUCGUGUAAGAAAUGUCUGUCGAACAUAUUCCCUA